CGUAUGAUUACAUUUAGCCAAGUAUUGGAAUUGAACUUGAUUGAUAAGGUGUAGAUGCUCGUGGGGGGCCUGGCAGCAUCGCAUUAAAGUCAAACACUUCAAGUGCAAUUUGUGCAGUUAUUAACUUGCACUGGAUGGUUAGAAAGUGCACUAACUACGUUAGACUCUGCAGCACGACUGGUGGAAGGUUGCGGUUCGAGAUUAAAAUCCUGUUGACUCGAUUCUGCAAUGUAGCUCUCCGCAAUGCUUGUCGAUUGCCACCCUCCAUGACGCUUCAGGGCACUGAUGUCUGCACCUGCAUUCAUAAGCAAGGUAGCAGACGUUCUUCGCAAACAAUGCCCGGUAUAAAGCUUCAGAU